AAAAAAAAAAAGUUCCUCCCGUUUGUGGGUUGGCGCCAGUAGCUAAGAGUAACAGUAACGGGAACAAAUUGGUAACAAGGGAAAAGUAAAGCUAAAAGCAACAAGAUGGUAAAAUUUCUCAUUUACAUUUGGAUUUAAUUCUAAAUCUGACAGAUACAUUUGAAUGAGAACCAUCAGCAAAAAAAAGUUUCUUUUCUCAGUUUUCUUACCACAGGAAAGGAUAUAUGAACAGAGCAUCAUCUGCUUCUCUUGCUCUCACAUCUGAUUCAUAAAUGCUAAAUAGAUUCUAAUUUUGUU
rnacentral:lncRNA from 1 species